rnacentral:lncRNA from 1 species
CUGACUAGAGAACAAACUACCAAUUAACGAGCGAGGAAACAGGGCCAGAGAAUUGGAACAAAAUACAAGGCUGCCUCUGAAAGGAAUAUCUUUGUGCUGAUGUGUCCAUCAAGAGAACAUACACAGAAGUGACACUUGCCAGUAAUUUGCAAGCAGAUGGAACUUCAAUAUGGCAAUAGAGAAAGAAUCAAUUAGACCAGAGUCUCCUCAGGAAGACUUUCUAUAGGUGGACGGUCCCCUGGAGAGCCCGCUGUGUUGGAAGAUGUAGAAUAUUCAUAUAUCUGGUGAGCAUCUGCUAGAUGCCAGGGUUGGGGAGAGUCAAGUUGAAGCAAGCAUGAACCCUCAAGGACCUACCAUUUCAAGGCAAGAAAUAGAUACAAAUACAGCGUAAUUAUCUCUCCAAUUAAAGAGCAACCAAGGGACAACUGAACUGGAGGUUCUGCAGAAUUACAACUAAGCACGCAGCCGAGGAAUCUACUCAGCUUUGAUCUCUUAUCGCUCUGCACACACAGCCCUUUCUCUGUAAGGCUAGCUGCUCUCAGCAUCACUGUGUCUAAUCAAACGUGUCACACCUCCACUGAGAAAAUAUUUACUGGAUAGCUACUAGACAUAAGGAUGCAGAAAUGAAUUAGAAAAAUUCCUCGCCCUUGUUCAAAGCUAUGCUGGCUCUUAGAACAUCUGAGCCCCCACUGUUUCAUCUUUAGAGGAUCCCAGCUGCUGGGGUGUGAGGCCAGUGCUGGAGCCAGCAGUCUCUGACCCAGAAGGGACCUGAGGUGCUAAAGAAAAGGGUACAAGCUGGAAAAGGGGAAAAUGAAUCAUGCUACAGGCCAAGUGUCCAUCACUGAUUCCCAGAGAUGCCCUUUGUGUGGUAGGCACUUCCAUGUGGACUCGCUACAGAGUUUGGAGUUCCUGAACAACAUGGACAGUGUUAAUUUGGAUUCCAUGCUUCAUGGCACAGAAUUGGAGCACUAACUACUCAGUGAUGACUUUCUCUUCCUCUAGCUAAGGUGAUCAACAAGUUUCCUUGUUCUUUCUCCAAGUAGUAGAAGAAAGUAAAGGUCAUAAGACCCUAAUUCCAGAGGGCCCUACCCUAUAACCAGAAGGAAGAACUAUUGCACAGAGAAUCUAAGAAGAAUCUAGACAGACAGCCCUUGCUGGAUUUCUCCACUCUGUUAGCAUUCGAUCAUUUGCCUUUUGUCCAGUCAUAUUUCUGCAUGGCUGUCCAUACUUUGUUGAACCUAAGCACAAAAUGGAAAGUUUUCCCUGUAUCUUUGGGUCGUCAU